rnacentral:rRNA from 1 species
CAAUAGCGUAUAUUUAAGUUGCUGCAGUUAAAAAGCUCGUAGUUGGAUUUCGGGUGGGAAUGGCCGGUCCGCCGUUUCGGUGUGCACUUGCUACGCCCACCUUGCUGCCGGGGACGUGCUCUUGAGUUCACGCUCGGGACACGGAGUCGGCGAGGUUACUUUGAGUAAAUUAGAGUGUUCAAAGCAGGCCUACGCUCUGAAUACAUUAGCAUGGAAUAACACGAUAGGACUCUGGCCUAUCUUGUUGGUCUGUAGGACCGGAGUAAUGAUUAAGAGGGACAGUCGGGGGCAUUCGUAUUUCAUUGUCAGAGGUGAAAUUCUUGGAUUUAUGGAAGACGAACUUCUGCGAAAGCAUUUGUCAAGGAUGUUUUCAUUAA